rnacentral:lncRNA from 1 species
GAGCUCUCCUUUCUCCUCUCCAUUCCCCUUCACGUUUUUUUUUCUGGGGUCUCCUUUGUCCGGCCAUAUCUUCCUCCACAGGCCUCCAAUCGACUUGAUUCCAAAAAGCAAUUUUUCUCACCUUGACGUCGUCUAUAAAUUCUCAGAAGACAUCGGGGUGAAAAUUGAACUGUGGAGGGCGCUGUAAGGCUGAGAAGCUGCACAGCUCGAGCUGGAAAUCACCUCCCUUCACCGGCUGAUAUCUUCCAAUUCCGGCCACCUCCAGCAAUAAACCUUAGUCCAUUGGAAGCGCCUUGGGACGUAGAUGAUGCUCCCCGAAGCUUUUGCGGAGAUUUGAAGCGUGGAGGAAGAAUCGACGGUUUGAAGUUGGAGGUUAGUAUUCACGAUUCGGGUUCAACCUUCCCCUUAAUUGUUGAGGUACUUCCGCUCAUUUUCUAACUUGGUCACAGUUGAAAGAAUUAAUGGGUGUGUUAAGAAGGUGCAAUUGCCAAAUUUUGGUGGCCAUUGGAGUUGGUGGCAGUGGCGGCGGUAGCGGCGGCUAGGGUAGCUUUUUAAUUUCAAUUUCUGGCUAGUUAAAUGUUAUAAUUAUCAUAGAGCUUAUAUAUGAAGUUUGGUGAGGAUUGGUGGAGUUUUAAAUCGGUUAUAAAUUUCUAAAGAUUUGGAUUUCGGUUAAUGUUAAUCGUGAAUCCGAUUGUCGGAUUUCCUCCAUAGUUGUUAUAUAGUCUGAAAUCGACGAGUGGGCAGUGUUGGUGAAGUUUGGUUGGAUGUGGAAGAGGAUUGGAGAAGUUGAGAAUGAGGUACCGACUCAUCGCUCGACGAGGAUCCUUAGGAUUCCACGUUAG